rnacentral:rRNA from 1 species
GAGUGAAAUAGAACCUGAAACCGUGUGCUUACAAGUAGUCAGAGCCCGUUAAUGGGUGAUGGCGUGCCUUUUGUAGAAUGAACCGGCGAGUUACGAUUUGAUGCAAGGUUAAGCAGUAAAUGUGGAGCCGUAGCGAAAGCGAGUCUGAAUAGGGCGUUUAGUAUUUGGUCGUAGACCCGAAACCAGGUGAUCUACCCUUGGUCAGGUUGAAGUUCAGGUAACACUGAAUGGAGGACCGAACCGACUUACGUUGAAAAGUGAGCGGAUGAACUGAGGGUAGCGGAGAAAUUCCAAUCGAACCUGGAGAUAGCUGGUUCUCUCCGAAAUAGCUUUAGGGCUAGCCUCAAGUGAUGAUUAUUGGAGGUAGAGCACUGUUUGGACGAGGGGCCCCUCUCGGGUUACCGAAUUCAGACAAACUCCGAAUGCCAAUUAAUUUAACUUGGGAGUCAGAACAUGGGUGAUAAGGUCCGUGUUCGAAAGGGAAACAGCCCAGACCACCAGCUAAGGUCCCAAAAUAUAUGUUAAGUGGAAAAGGAUGUGGCGUUGCCCAGACAACUAGGAUGUUGGCUUAGAAGCAGCCAUCAUUUAAAGAGUGCGUAAUAGCUCACUAGUCGAGUGACACUGCGCCGAAAAUGUACCGGGGCUAAACAUAUUACCGAAGCUGUGGAUUGUCCUUUGGACAAUGGUAGGAGAGCGUUCUAAGGGCGUUGAAGCAUGAUCGUAAGGACAUGUGGAGCGCUUAGAAGUGAGAAUGCCGGUGUGAGUAGCGAAAGACGGGUGAGAAUCCCGUCCACCGAUUGACUAAGGUUUCCAGAGGAAGGCUCGUCCGCUCUGGGUUAGUCGGGUCCUAAGCUGAGGCCGACAGGCGUAGGCGAUGGAUAACAGGUUGAUAUUCCUGUACCACCUAUAAUCGUUUUAAUCGAUGGGGGGACGCAGUAGGAUAGGCGAAGCGUGCGAUUGGAUUGCACGUCUAAGCAGUAAGGCUGAGUAUUAGGCAAAUCCGGUACUCGUUAAGGCUGAGCUGUGAUGGGGAGAAGACAUUGAGUCUUCGAGUCGUUGAUUUCACACUGCCGAGAAAAGCCUCUAGAUAGAAAAUAGGUGCCCGUACCGCAAACCGACACAGGUAGUCAAGAUGAGAAUUCUAAGGUGAGCGAGCGAACUCUCGUUAAGGAACUCGGCAAAAUGACCCCGUAACUUCGGGAGAAGGGGUGCUCUUUAGGGUUAACGCCCAGAAGAGCCGCAGUGAAUAGGCCCAAGCGACUGUUUAUCAAAAACACAGGUCUCUGCUAAACCGUAAGGUGAUGUAUAGGGGCUGACGCCUGCCCGGUGCUGGAAGGUUAAGAGGAGUGGUUAGCUUCUGCGAAGCUACGAAUCGAAGCCCCAGUAAACGGCGGCCGUAACUAUAACGGUCCUAAGGUAGCGAAAUUCCUUGUCGGGUAAGUUCCGACCCGCACGAAAGGCGUAACGAUUUGGGCACUGUCUCAACGAGAGACUCGGUGAAAUCAUAG